GGGUUGUGAGGUUAAGCGACUAAGCGUACACGGUGGAUGCCCUGGCAGUCAGAGGCGAUGAAGGACGUGCUAAUCUGCGAAAAGCGUCGGUAAGGUGAUAUGAACCGUUAUAACCGGCGAUGUCCGAAUGGGGAAACCCAGUGCAAUUCGUUGCACUAUCGUUAACUGAAUACAUAGGUUAACGAGGCGAACCGGGGGAACUGAAACAUCUAAGUACCCCGAGGAAAAGAAAUCAACCGAGAUUCCCCCAGUAGCGGCGAGCGAACGGGGAGCAGCCCGGAGUCUGAAUCAGCUUGUGUGUUAGUGGAAGCGUCUGGAAAGUCGCAGGGUACAGGGUGAUACUCCCGUACACUAAAACACACAGGCUGUGAACUCGAAGAGUAGGGCGGGACACGUGGUAUCCUGUCUGAAUAUGGGGGGACCAUCCUCCAAGGCUAAAUACUCCUGACUGACCGAUAGUGAACCAGUACCGUGAGGGAAAGGCGAAAAGAACCCCGGCGAGGGGAGUGAAAAAGAACCUGAAACCGUGUACGUACAAGCAGUAGGAGCCCACUAGUUGGGUGACUGCGUACCUUUUGUAUAAUGGGUCAGCGACUUAUAUUCUGUAGCAAGGUUAACCGAAUAGGGGAGCCGCAGGGAAACCGAGUCUUAACUGGGCGUUAAGUUGCAGGGUAUAGACCCGAAACCCGGUGAUCUAGCCAUGGGCAGGUUGAAGGUUGGGUAACACUAACUGGAGGACCGAACCGACUAAUGUUGAAAAAUUAGCGGAUGACUUGUGGCUGGGGGUGAAAGGCCAAUCAAACCGGGAGAUAGCUGGUUCUCCCCGAAAGCUAUUUAGGUAGCGCCUCGUGAACUCAUCUUCGGGGGUAGAGCACUGUUUCGGCUAGGGGGUCAUCCCGACUUACCAACCCGAUGCAAACUACGAAUACCGAAGAAUGUUAUCACGGGAGACACACGGCGGGUGCUAACGUCCGUCGUGAAGAGGGAAACAACCCAGACCGCCAGCUAAGGUCCCAAAGUCAUGGUUAAGUGGGAAACGAUGUGGGAAGGCCCAGACAGCCAGGAUGUUGGCUUAGAAGCAGCCAUCAUUUAAAGAAAGCGUAAUAGCUCACUGGUCGAGUCGGCCUGCGCGGAAGAUGUAACGGGGCUAAACCAUGCACCGAAGCUGCGGCAGCGACACUAUGUGUUGUUGGGUAGGGGAGCGUUCUGUAAGCCGUUGAAGGUGGCCUGUGAGGGUUGCUGGAGGUAUCAGAAGUGCGAAUGCUGACAUAAGUAACGAUAAUGCGGGUGAAAAACCCGCACGCCGGAAGACCAAGGGUUCCUGUCCAACGUUAAUCGGGGCAGGGUGAGUCGACCCCUAAGGCGAGGCCGAAAGGCGUAGUCGAUGGGAAACAGGUUAAUAUUCCUGUACUUGGUGUUACUGCGAAGGGGGGACGGAGAAGGCUAUGUUGGCCGGGCGACGGUUGUCCCGGUUUAAGCAUGUAGGCGGAUGUUCCAGGUAAAUCCGGAACGUCACUAACGCUGAGGUGUGAUGACGAGGCACUACGGUGCUGAAGUGACAAAUGCCCUGCUUCCAGGAAAAGCCUCUAAGCAUCAGGUAACAUCAAAUCGUACCCCAAACCGACACAGGUGGUCAGGUAGAGAAUACCAAGGCGCUUGAGAGAACUCGGGUGAAGGAACUAGGCAAAAUGGUGCCGUAACUUCGGGAGAAGGCACGCUGAUGGUAAGUGAAGUGACUUGCUCAUGGAGCUGAAAUCAGUCGAAGAUACCAGCUGGCUGCAACUGUUUAUUAAAAACACAGCACUGUGCAAACACGAAAGUGGACGUAUACGGUGUGACGCCUGCCCGGUGCCGGAAGGUUAAUUGAUGGGGUUAUCCUCACGGAGAAGCUCUUGAUCGAAGCCCCGGUAAACGGCGGCCGUAACUAUAACGGUCCUAAGGUAGCGAAAUUCCUUGUCGGGUAAGUUCCGACCUGCACGAAUGGCGUAAUGAUGGCCAGGCUGUCUCCACCCGAGACUCAGUGAAAUUGAACUCGCUGUGAAGAUGCAGUGUACCCGCGGCAAGACGGAAAGACCCCGUGAACCUUUACUAUAGCUUGACACUGAACACUGGUCCUUGAUGUGUAGGAUAGGUGGGAGGCUUUGAAGUGUGGACGCCAGUCUGCAUGGAGCCGUCCUUGAAAUACCACCCUUUAAUGGCUGGUGUUCUAACGUGGGCCCGUGAUCCGGGUUGCGGACAGUGUCUGGUGGGUAGUUUGACUGGGGCGGUCUCCUCCUAAAGAGUAACGGAGGAGCACGAAGGUCAGCUAAUCCUGGUCGGACAUCAGGAGGUUAGUGCAAUGGCAUAAGCUGGCUUGACUGCGAGCGUGACGGCGCGAGCAGGUGCGAAAGCAGGUCAUAGUGAUCCGGUGGUUCUGAAUGGAAGGGCCAUCGCUCAACGGAUAAAAGGUACUCCGGGGAUAACAGGCUGAUACCGCCCAAGAGUUCAUAUCGACGGCGGUGUUUGGCACCUCGAUGUCGGCUCAUCACAUCCUGGGGCUGAAGUAGGUCCCAAGGGUAUGGCUGUUCGCCAUUUAAAGUGGUACGCGAGCUGGGUUUAGAACGUCGUGAGACAGUUCGGUCCCUAUCUGCCGUGGGCGCUGGAGAAUUGAGGGGGGCUGCUCCUAGUACGAGAGGACCGGAGUGGACGCAUCACUGGUGUUCGGGUUGUCAUGCCAAUGGCAUUGCCCGGUAGCUAAAUGCGGAAGAGAUAAGUGCUGAAAGCAUCUAAGCACGAAACUUGCCCCGAGAUGAGUUCUCCCUGACUCCUUGAGAGUCCUGAAGGAACGUUGAAGACGACGACGUUGAUAGGCCGGGUGUGUAAGCGCAGCGAUGCGUUGAGCUAACCGGUACUAAUGAACCGUGAGGCUUAACCUUACAACGCCGAAG
rnacentral:rRNA from 1 species